GGAAAAUACACGUCCGCUGAAAGACCCCCAUUAUGCUGUCAGUGAUCCACAGCAAGCCCUUUGGAUCAUACAUUAAUCUUUAGCCGCAAACCUUGUUGGGUUUGAGGUAAACACAUGUGCUCCGAGGGCAACAUGAUAUUCAUUCAAAUGAAUCAUUCAGAUCAUGCUGGGAGAUGAGUUUUUAUAAUGUGAAUCUUGAUGCAAUGUACUUAUACUUCCUCUGUUUCUUCUCCAGACUCCUUUUCACCUGCUGGGAGACUAUAGGGCAAAUGGAAGAGGUGCAUUAUGGGCUGCGGCAUGCCUUUCUAAUGUCCCCAGAGUGAUGCCAUAUGUCUCCUGUUAACAGGACUGGGGAGAGAUGAGGGGGGUGAGGCUUUCCUCCUGAGGGGAUGCCGAGCUCCUUCACAUCCAGCUGUCACCUUUAUCAGCUCAUCCUUCAUGUUUUGGGAAACAAAAACCUGCAACUUGAAAAUGAGAGUGUUUGAUCGCAGUUGGAUUGGCGGCAUGUGCAGGAUGUAGACUGGAACAGGUUUGGUGCCCGUAGGUCCUUUUCGUACCAUAUGCACUCAGGUAAGGCCAUGGGGCAGGCUGUUACCAAAAGUGUCACAUCCCAACACUUUAAUCUCUCUUUCUCUCUCUCUAUCACAUACACAAACAUUGAACAGACAGCAUUUAUCAAUAUUUAUUCAUUUUAAACAAUAACAAUAAUCAAAAUGCACAAUAAUAAUAAUAAUUGUUAAAAAUAAAUAUUAUUAAAGCAAUAAAGUAUUAUUAUUAUUAUUUUUAAGAUAAAUAUUACAACUAAUAAUAAUGUUUAUUGCUACUGAUGUUCUCAUUGUUUAAUAUAUUAAAAAGGUGUUUGAUAAUUUGAUGAUUUAAUGUGUGAUGUAAGUUUGAGGAUGCCUCUGACACAAUA